AUACGGAGGAUCCGAGCGUUAUCCGGAUUUAUUGGGUUUAAAGGGUGCGCAGGCGGCCAUUUAAGUCAGCGGUUAAAUCGUGGGGCUCAACCCCAUUCUGCCGUUGAUACUGGUAGGCUUGAUUGCGGUCGAGGUUGGCGGAAUUAGUUGUGUAGCGGUGAAAUGCAUAGAUAUGACGAAGAACACCGAUUGCGUAGGCAGCUGACCAGACCGCAAAUGACGCUCAUGCACGAAAGUGCGGGGAUCGAACAGGAUUAGAUACCCUGGUAGUCCGCACAGUAAACGAUGAAUACUUGUUUUCGGCGAUAUAAUGUCGGAGGCAAAGCGAAAGCGAUAAGUAUUCCACCUGGGGAGUACGCCGGCAACGGUGAAACUCAAAUGAAUUGGCGGGG
rnacentral:rRNA from 1 species